rnacentral:rRNA from 1 species
AUACGGAAGGUCCGGGCGUUAUCCGGAUUUACUGGGUUUAAAGGGAGCGCAGGCGGAGAUGCAAGCGUGACGUCAAAUUUCGGGGCUCAACCCCGUCUCGCGUCGCGAACUGCGUCCCUUGGUUGCGGGAAGGGGAGGCGGAACUCGUGGUGUAGCGGUGAAAUGCAUAGAUAUCACGAAGAACUCCGAUCGCGAAGGCAGCCUUCCGGCCCGUCAACGACGCUCAUGCUCGAAGGUGCGGGUAUCAAACAGGAUUAGAUACCCUGGUAGUCCGCACAGUAAACGAUGGACACCCGCGGUUUGGCCUGUAUGGCUGAGCCGCCAAGCGAAAGCGUUAAGUGUCCCACCUGGGGAGUACGCCGGCAACGGUGAAACUCAAAGGAAUUGACGGGG